GAUGAACGCUGGCGGCGUGCCUAAUACAUGCAAGUCGAGCGAACGGACGAGAAGCUUGCUUCUCUGAUGUUAGCGGCGGACGGGUGAGUAACACGUGGAUAACCUACCUAUAAGACUGGGAUAACUUCGGGAAACCGGAGCUAAUACCGGAUAAUAUUUUGAACCGCAUGGUUCAAUAGUGAAAGACGGUCUUGCUGUCACUUAUAGAUGGAUCCGCGCUGCAUUAGCUAGUUGGUAAGGUAACGGCUUACCAAGGCGACGAUGCAUAGCCGACCUGAGAGGGUGAUCGGCCACACUGGAACUGAGACACGGUCCAGACUCCUACGGGAGGCAGCAGUAGGGAAUCUUCCGCAAUGGGCGAAAGCCUGACGGAGCAACGCCGCGUGAGUGAUGAAGGUCUUCGGAUCGUAAAACUCUGUUAUUAGGGAAGAACAUAUGUGUAAGUAACUGUGCACGUCUUGACGGUACCUAAUCAGAAAGCCACGGCUAACUACGUG
rnacentral:rRNA from 1 species